CGUAGCUCAGCGGUAGAGUAGAUGACUGUUAAUCAUUUGGUCACUGGUUCGAAUCCAGUC
rnacentral:tRNA from 1 species